rnacentral:rRNA from 1 species
CCCUUAGACGUUCUGGGCCGCACGCGCGCUACACUGACGAAGGCAACGAGCUACUCUUCACCGAAAGGUGUGGGUAAUCUUUUGAAACUUCGUCGUGCUGGGGAUAGAUCCUUGCAAUUUUUGAUCUUAAACGAGGAAUUCCUAGUAAGCGCAAGUCAUCAACUUGCGUUGAUUACGUCCCUGCCCUUUGUACACACCGCCCGUCGCUACUACCGAUUGAAUGGUUUAGUGAGGCCUUCGGAUCCGCGAUUUUAUUGUGGAGAAGUUGGACAAACUCAGUCAUUGAGAGGAAGUAAAAGUCGUAACA